ACGUAGGUGGCAAGCGUUGUCCGGAUUUACUGGGUGUAAAGGGCGUGUAGCCGGGGAGACAAGUCAGAUGUGAAAUCUGGAGGCUCAACCUCCAAACUGCAUUUGAAACUGUUUCUCUUGAGUAUCGGAGAGGUAAUCGGAAUUCCUAGUGUAGCGGUGAAAUGCGUAGAUAUUAGGAAGAACACCAGUGGCGAAGGCGGAUUACUGGACGACAACUGACGGUGAGGCGCGAAAGCGUGGGGAGCAAACAG
rnacentral:rRNA from 1 species